ACCUGGGUGGCUCAGUCGGUUAAGUGUCUGACUUCGGCUCAGGUCAUGAUCUCGCGGUUCGUGGGUUCAAGCCCCACGUCGGGCU
rnacentral:tRNA from 1 species